rnacentral:rRNA from 1 species
UGGCUCAGGACGAACGCUGGCGGCGUGCCUAAUACAUGCAAGUCGAGCGGACCUCUUCGGAGGUCAGCGGCGGACGGGUGAGUAACACGUGGGCAACCUGCCUGUAAGACUGGGAUAACUCCGGGAAACCGGAGCUAAUACCGGAUACUAUGUCAAACCGCAUGGUUUGACAUUCAAAGACGGUUUCGGCUGUCACUUACAGAUGGGCCCGCGGCGCAUUAGCUAGUUGGUGAGGUAAUGGCUCACCAAGGCGACGAUGCGUAGCCGACCUGAGAGGGUGAUCGGCCACACUGGGACUGAGACACGGCCCAGACUCCUACGGGAGGCAGCAGUAGGGAAUCUUCCGCAAUGGACGAAAGUCUGACGGAGCAACGCCGCGUGAGUGAUGAAGGUUUUCGGAUCGUAAAACUCUGUUGUCAGGGAAGAACAAGUGCCGGAGUAACUGCCGGCGCCUUGACGGU